rnacentral:sRNA from 1 species
UUCGGAAAAAAUAAGUGCUCAAGUGAAGUUCUGUCGUGAAACUGAAAUUAAUUGAAGAAAAGUUGUUUCUAAUAUAAAGUGCUAAAUUUUCACAUUAGUUGUUACACACACAUACCAUGUAUAUAUAUUGUUCAACGGCAAUGCAAAUGUGUGCAGAAACAGUUGGAAAGGCAAACCUGAGGAGCUAUAACAUGGCACGAAGGCUGAAAUAAUUGCUAGUACGGGUUUCUCAAGCAUUUCUGCUCUGAACAAAGAAAAUGAAAUCAGCUCCUCGUCGUCAUCUCAGCGUGGGCACGUCAGGCAUUUUCACAUAACGGCGAAAUGGGGCCACACAAAACCAGACUUGGCGGUGCGAAAACCCAACCAAGUUUUUCAUCUUUGGCUAGAAAGUUGCACUGUAGGCAGGCUGAGGCAGAUGCCAGGCGUUUGAAUUGCUAGCCGGAGUGUGCGGAGUGUGUGUGUUGUCCUGGACUUGAGGAGUUUGGAUAGGAAGCCAGGUAUAAAACGCAGCGAAGACAGCUUGUUCUCUUGUUAUACUUGGGCGUUGAAAGUUGAUACGCGAUCGAUAGAUGUUAUAACUCGAAUGCAAUGCGUGCGAAAGGGCAUUACAACAGCUGAAAUAUGCCGUUGGUGUGGCCCCGUUAGCCGUGUGGCGAGAGUAUAUCUGAACUCAGCGACCUGUGUGUGUCGCUACCUACACACAGGGGUACUAAACAUCGUUUUUAUCAGAUUGAUUGCGUGGAUUGAAUUUAUAGGAACCUGUAUCGACUUCUCUGCUCUACUAAGACUUGUUCAAAACAAAGGCGCACAAUUACCUAUACGUUUAUAUACGGCCUUCUAUUAUUUACCUAACAUCAUCGAACCGUUAUCAAUACCGAUCCAAACAGAUAUAAACACUACUGACAUCGAUCGAUAAAGAUAUAUAUCUCGUAUCUGGAGUAGCAACUGAACGAGCCAAUCGUUAGUUCGUUUUAUGCAGCACAAUUUACAAACUAUAUUCUUGUUAUUUACUUAUUUUUUUGUUGUAAACAUAAACAUUUGCUAGUACACGACAUGUGCGACUUAAGUUCUUAAAUACCUGAAACUGUUAAACAAAAAGAAAAAAAACAAAGAAAAUAUUCUGUUUUUGUACACAACCCAAGAUUUAAGAAAAUUUGUCCAUUUAUUGUUGUAAAUAUACUUGUCCAUACCAGUUAUAGAUAAUGAAUGAAGAAUAUAAGAAAAAAAGAAUGAGCUCAUCAAUACAGAAAAGAAGCUACAAACAAAAAAGAAUAAAAGAAAUCUAAGAAGACCAAUAAAUUUCGAAACAAUUGUUCGCCAUAUUUUUAUUUUAAGCUAAAAUUCUACACAAAUUUCAGUCUUAUCAUCGUACAAAUGGAGGAAGGGCCACUCUAAAUAUCCCAUACAGGUUUAUUUACACGAAAAUUAUGCGUAUAAAAGUCUAUGAAAUUUCUAAGGUUUGAAGUUAAGGUAAACAUCGACAACAUAUAUAUAUAUAUAUAUAUAUAAAAGAGACAUUCCCUAUAAAUAUGUUAAAAUUUUUCUCUAUACGCAUUGCUUGCGAUCAUAUAAGGGAAAUAUAUGCGAAUUUGAAAAUUAUAAAUUAAGCAGGGCUUUGGUAAAUGCUAAAAUAUGCGGUAAACUGCAAAAACGGUUAAAUAUUCAAAUUUGAGACACUUCAUCAAUGGCCGUAUUAAUACAAUUUUACAGACCCAACAUUACACAAUAUUCUACAAUUUAUUCCACUUUUCUGAUUUACUUAAGAAUUUAAGUUAAGUGUCUUCAAUUUGUCUUUAAUUUUUUUUUUUUAGUUGUCUUUACUAUCAAACUAUCUUAACUAAAUAUCAAACACAGCCUGAACACAUAAAAUUUACUUCAAAUACCAAGCGGAAACUAAACAACAAGGAUUAAACACUUCCAAUCCCCAAAAGCAAUUUUUCUUCCACAACUUAUCAACAUCGGAAGUUAACUUCAAUGACAAAAGUAUCCUUUAAUGGUCAGAAUUGUCCAGCAUAAAAUGGAACAUCCCAUCCGAUUAUCUGUUUACAUUUCAACCUGGAAAUUUCCAUCAAAGAAUUAGUACAUUUUCAAACUCGUCUCAAAUUGCACCAUCUGAAACAAUGGAAACUUCGUCAGCCCAGGCAUAAAUCUACCUCAAUGCACCACAUUCAAUUCAAGCAAAUACUUCUCAAAUAUUAAUGUGCCAACCAAGUAUACAUCCACAAAAUUCGUCUGCUUCUCAACUUCUCCAUCUACAAGCAUCUCAAUAUCGUCUACUUCCCCAACUGCUCCAUCUACAAGCAACUCAAUCUUUUACUUCCUCAACUGCUCCUCCAUCUACAAGCAACUCAACACAGCUGACACCUUUAAAAUUUAUCAGACACUAUUUUAAGUUCGAUUUUCAACAAUUUCAAAAUAUUUUUUCAACGUUCUUUGUCGUUCGACAAAUUUUUACUAUUUAUAUAUAUCUGAGCCGUGAUUACAACCAAAUAUUAAAUUAAAUUUGUCAAACACAUUACGAAACGUUCUACUGACACCACGUUGUCUUAAACAUCCUUAUAAAACUGCGUCCAAUACAAAUUAUAAAUUAUUAAGCAUACGAAAAAGUGAAAACAGAAAUUUCCCUGCGAUUACAAAAAGAGCGUAAAAACACACGAAAACUGCGAAGAAUUUAAGAAAGUGGAGUGUAUGGUUAAGAGUGUGAAAACAUAGAAAUUUCCCUAAUAGGUAGGUCAUACACAAACCCCGAUUACAACCCAAAUUUAAAACAUACAAGAGCGUAAAAACACACGAAAACUGCGAUGAAUUUAAGAAAGUGGAAUGUUUAGUUAAGAGUGUGAAAACAUAGAAAUUUCCCUAAUAGGUAGGACAUACACAAACUGCGAUGAAUUUGAGAGAAUGGAGUAUUCGGUUAAGAGUGUGAGGACAUAGAAAUUUCCUUUUUAGGUAGGACAUAAACAAACCCCGAUUACAACCCAAAUUUAAAACAUACAAGAGCGUAAAAACACACGAAAACUGCGAUGAAUUUAUGAAAGUGGAGUGUUUGGUUAAGAGUGUGAAGACAUAGAAAUUUCCCUAAUAGGUAGGUCAUACACAAACCCCGAUUACAACCCAAAUUUAAAACCUACAAGAGCGUAAAAACACACGAAAACUGCUAUGAAUUUGAAGAAAGUGGAGUGUUUGGUUAAGAGUGUGAAAACAUAUAAAUUUCCCUAAUAGGUAGGACAUACACAAACUGCGAUGAAUUUGAGAGAAUGGAGUAUUCGGUUAAGAGUGUGAGGACAUAGAAAUUUCCUUUUUAGGUAGGACAUACACAAACUGCGAUGAAUUUGAGAGAAUGGAGUGUUUGGUUAAGAGUGUGAAGACAUAGAAAUUUCCCUAAUAGGUAGGACAUACACAAACUGCGAUUACAACCCAAAUUUAAAACAUACAAGAGCGUAAAAACACACUAAAGCUGCGAUGCAUUUGAAGAAAGUGGAGUGUUCGAUUAAGAGUGUGAAAACAUAGAAAUUUCCCUAAUAGGUAGGUCAUACACAAACCCCGAUUACAACCCAAAUUUAAAACCUACAAGAGCGUAAAAACACACGAAAACUGCUAUGAAUUUGAAGAAAGU